rnacentral:lncRNA from 1 species
UGGGGGUCCCUAAUUGGCUUGACUUCCUCUCCUAAAUGAAUUCAAUGUUGGACUAUUGAAAGGCUGAUCCCUUUGAUGACAGCCAUGGUCCAGCUUAUGGCUUUCUUAUUCUCUCUAAGGAUAGCUAAAUAUUUUUUUUUGGGUUUGAUCUAGGUCUGAUGCGAUAAUUAUGGAUAAAAUUUCUGAUGGACCUAGAUACGCAUAUUUGAGGUGCUCAGAGAGUGUUUUGAGUUUUAGUUUCGGUGCUUCCUCAAUCAAUGGUUUGUGUAUUGGUUCAUCCAUCCUUAUAAGUGGUUCAACAGAUAGUUGCCAUUAUAGAUGAACUCUCU